UACGUAGGGGGCAAGCGUUAUCCGGAUUUACUGGGUGUAAAGGGAGCGUAGGCGGCUUAGUAAGUCAGAAGUGAAAGCCCGCAGCUCAACUGCGGGACUGCUUUUGAAACUGCCAGGCUAGAGUGUCGGAGAGGCAAUCGGAAUUCCGUGUGUAGCGGUGAAAUGCGUAGAUAUACGGAGGAACACCAGUGGCGAAGGCGGAUUGCUGGACAGUAACUGACGCUGAGGCGCGAAAGCGUGGGGAGCAAACAGG
rnacentral:rRNA from 1 species